rnacentral:sRNA from 1 species
ACAGGCCUCAGGGAGAGAGGGUUGAGAAACCUCGACCAGGGUUCGCCGAAUCGGCAGGAUAGUCGAUUCGAACGUUACGAAGUGACGGCCCGAAGGGCGAAGGGCAGGAUGCCCGGAGUAAUCUUUCUUGAGUUCACU